UCUCUGUUAAACUGUAGAUGUGCAGACUCUCCGAAAAUAGAAGUGGGUUUUUUCCAGAGAUUAUCGUUAGUCAUGUGACCUUAUAGGCUAGUUUCUUUGUGAGAGCAAUCAAGCGUGACAUGAAGUCAGCCAUGCAGUGAAUUUGAACUUCAGUUGGAGCGUCAAACGUCUCAUGAGUCAGAUUAUCCCACAAGAAUUGCAGGCAUAUCGAACAAUGGCAGCAGAGUCCAUGCAUUGCAGGGGUAGAAUAUGAAAAAGUUUGAAGCAAGUAGUAUGAAUAAACAUUGAGAAUUCUAGGAAGAAUAUUGCAAACCUUGAUAGUCUCUAAGAGGAUCAUACAACAAGCAGAGUACUUGUGAGAUCACAGAUGAGGAGGAGGCGGAGCUAAGUAUUUACUUUGUCAUCUGGUUCGCCGAGAACCAUCAGACAUUUUCAAAUAUGUUUAAGAAAGGUAUUAUCAAAU